rfam:Oryza sativa Japonica Group DNA, chromosome 2, cultivar: Nipponbare, complete sequence.
AAUAAGUGCAGUUUUGCACUAUUCAUGUUCAACGUUUGACCGUCCGUCUUAUUUGAAAAUUUUUUAUGGUUAUUAUUUUUAUUACUAUUAGAUGAUAAAACAUGAAUAGUACUUUAUGUGUGACUAAAUGUUUUUAAUUUUUUCAUAAAUUUUUCAAAUAAGACGGACGGUUAAACGUUGAACGUGAAUAGUGUAAAACUGCACUUAUU